UACACUCCUGCGGGAGGCAGCAGUAGGGAAUCUUCCACAAUGGGUGCAAACCUGAUGGAGCAAUGCCGCGUGAGUGAAGAAGGUCUUCGGAUCGUAAAGCUCUGUUGUUAGAGAAGAACACGUGCUAGGUAACUACUAGCGCCUUGACGGUAUCUAACCAGAAAGUCACGGCUAACUACGUGCCAGCAGCCGCGGUAAUACGUAGGUGACAAGCGUUGUCCGGAUUUAUUGGGCGUAAAGGGAGCGCAGGCGGUCUGUUUAGUCUAAUGUGAAAGCCCACGGCUUAACCGUGGAACGGCAUUGGAAACUGACAGACUUGAAUGUAGAAGAGGAAAAUGGAAUUCCAAGUGUAGCGGUGGAAUGCGUAGAUAUUUGGAGGAACACCAGUGGCGAAGGCGAUUUUCUGGUCUAACAUUGACGCUGAGGCUCGAAAGCGUGGGGAGCGAACAGGAUUAGAUACCCGUGUAGUCCCAUG
rnacentral:rRNA from 1 species